rnacentral:rRNA from 1 species
GACGAACCGUCCAAACGUUUAUUCGGAAUUAUUGGGCUUAAAGGGUGCGUAGGCUGUGCAGUAAGUUGGGUGUGAAAUCCCUCGCUCAACCGAGGAACUGCGCCGAAUACUGCUGCGCUAGAGGAAGAUAGGGGUAAGCGGAACUGAUGGUGGAGCGGUGAAAUGCGUUGAUAUCAUCAGGAACACCGGGUGGCGAAGGCGGCUUACUGGAUCUUUUCUGACGCUGAUGCACGAAAGCUAGGGGAGCGAACGGG